rnacentral:rRNA from 1 species
CCCUGCCAUUUGUACACACCGCCCGUCGCUACUACCGAUUGAAUGGCUCAGUGAGGCCUCCGGACUGGCUCGAAGAGGUUGGCAACGACCACUUCGAGCCGGAAAGCUGGUCAAACUCGGUCAUUUAGAGGAAGUAAAAGUCGUAACAAG